UGAAAGGGUUAAAACCACGUGAUAACGUCAAUGACAUAAAUUUGAAGCGCCAAGCGCUUGGUCCUUAAUCUUCAGAAAUAUAUCAAGGACUAAAUAUGGAGAUAGAUUUUGAAACAACCUUGUUGUGUGAGGAAAUUGAUGAUCCAAAUAUAAAAGCUGCUGUGCAAGAAGUAAUUGAUACAAGAUCAACUUUACCUUUAACCAAACGUAUAGUACAUGAUACAAUACAGAUUAGACGUAUGGACAGAGGACUUCCAGAAUAUAUAGUUCAAACAACGAAAAAACAAGAACAAGGGUUAACCGAAGAAGAAAAAGAGAAGAGAAAACGUAAGAAGGAAUCGAACAAAAAAGCGGCAAAAAAAUAUCGCCAAAGACAAAAAGAACGCCAUCAAGAUCUUCUUUGGAAGAUAAAUGAUCUGGAGGAGCAAAAUAAAAACAUCGCUAGUGCUUUAGCUCAAGAACGAAUGGAGAGAGCUGACUACCAUAUUUGCCGCAACUGUUGCAACCACACCACAUACUGUAAAAAUGAUAUGUGUAAGGUUUUUAGUGAAGAAUAAUUUAUGUAAAUAUAGUGUAAGGUUUUUAAGUAAAGAAUAAUAUAUAAAUAUAGUUGUAAGGUUUUUAAGCGAAUAAUAAUAUACAUAUAUAAUUGGGUUUAAAAUAAGGGUUAAAGUCUCUAUGUUAUUGUUUUUACUGUGAUUAACGUUCGACGUUAUAAAACUUGUUUAUAUAUAAUACUAUUAUUUAUUACUGGCCAUAGUGACAUUAAAGAAUAAACUACGAUUUUGUGAUUAGAAAAUGUAACAUUCAUAUUCUGUCGGGUUUUGUCAUUCCAUAUUCGAAUUUAAUAGACUAAUUUACCAAAGAGCUGAAGAAAUACAAAAUUUAUUAAAUCUAUAUGUUUUGUCCUUUAAUUCUGAUUGAAAAUCAAUCAGAUCAAUGUCGGAGAAUUCUGUCAAAAAAUUAUAUAUUUGUCAUUUAAAAGACACAAAAUGUACUAAUAUAAGAAUAUUUUUCUUAUUCCAAAUUUUUACAGUGCUAUAAAUGUCAACAUACUUUUAAUGUGUUACGUAAAUUUGUGUUUCCUACAUUUUUUUAAAAAAAAGAAGAAAGAAGAUAAAUAAUGUUUUCAAAACUAGCUUUUAUUGAUCAAAUAAAA